AACAACAGUUUAAAGGGUUUUUUCUCCCUGGACCCUAUGUUCGUAUAUGUUUGUGUCUAAGUGACUGAUGGGAGCAACAAUCUUUGACAUUGGUCCAGUAUUGAUGAAGC